GAUUAUGCUAUAUUGAGUCAACCCCUUGUAUACAUGGAUUCUGCUUGAGGGGAUUCAAUUAACCACUGAUAGAAAAUAUUUGGAAAAAAAGCAAUACAACAAUAAAAUUAAUACAAAUAAAAACAACAUAGUAUAACAACUAUUUACAUAAAAUUUAAAUUAUAUUGGAUAUUAAAAGUAAUCUAUACAUGAUUUAAUGUAUAUGAGAGAAUGUGUAUGUGAGCUAAGUUGCAAGCCCUGUGUUUAAAGGUGGAAGUGGUUGACAGGCCUCUGAGCCCAAGCCAAGCCAUCGCAUCCCCUGUGACUUGCACAUAUAUGCUCAGAUGGCCUGAAGGAACUGAAGAAUCACAAAAGAAGUGAAAAGGCCCUGCCCUGCCUUAACUGAUGACAUUCCACCAUUGUGAUUUGGGACCUCCCUUGGGAGAUCAAUCCCCUGUCCUCCUGCUCUUUGCUCCGUGAAAAAGAUCCACCUAUGACCUUGGGUCCUCAGACCCACCAGCCUAAGGAACAUCUCACCAAUUUUAAAUUGGGUAAGCGGCCUCUUCUUACUCUCUUC
rnacentral:lncRNA from 1 species